GAGGAUUCUAAAGUAACAUUAUAGUUCAAGAUGUUCAAGGAGGAAUAAAGAAGGGAUUUGAAAGCAAUUCAAUCCAAACAGGAAAUCAAAUUCCUUAUAGCUAUAUAUGUUUAGACGUAAAUUGCUAGAAACUAUAGCUUCCCAGAUCCAAAUAAAAUGGACUCGAAAUUGUUAUAUCAAUACGUGCAGAGUCGCCGGAGAAGAUGGUUUACUCCGAUCUAUUGGCGAACCUUUCAACCUUUUCGUUCAAGUUCAGUCCGACCAUGGCCUCGCCGAGUCCACAGCUCACUUCCGCCAGCACCUCCGGAUCGUUGUAAUGAGUAACGGCCUGAACAAUCGCUCUGGCUCGCCUCGCCGGGUCGCCGCUCUUGAACACACCGGAGCCGACGAACACGCCGUCGCAACCGAGCUGCAUCAUCAGCGCUGCAUCCGCCGGCGUCGCUACACCACCAGCGGCAAAUUGAACCACCGGGAGCCUCCCGAGCUGCUUCGUCUGCAGAACCAAAUCAUAUGGCGCAGCGAUCUUCUUGGCGAAGGUAAAGACCUCAUCGUCGUCCAUGUUCCUCAACAACCUGAUAUCUCCCAUCACGGACCGCACGUGCCGCACCGCCUCAAUGAUAUUGCCGGUACCGGCCUCGCCCUUGGUUCUGAUCAUCGCCGCCCCUUCACGAAUACGCCGCAGCGCCUCACCGAGGUUACGGCAUCCACAGACGAAAGGAAUGCGGAAAUUGUGCUUGUUGAUGUGG
rnacentral:misc_RNA from 1 species